UACGUAGGUGGCCAGCGUUGUCCGGAUUUACUGGGCGUAAAGGGCGCGUAGGCGGCCUGUUAAGUCGAACGUGAAAUCCCCGGGCUCAACCCGGGAACUGCGUCCGAUACUGGCAGGCUUGAAUCCGGGAGAGGGAUGUGGAAUUCCAGGUGUAGCGGUGAAAUGCGUAGAUAUCAGGAGGAACACCGAUGGCGAAGGCAGCUUGCUGGGACGGUACUGACGCUGAGGCGCGAAAGCGUGGGGAGCAAACAGG
rnacentral:rRNA from 1 species